rnacentral:rRNA from 1 species
UACGGAGGAUCCAAGCGUUAUCCGGAUUUAUUGGGUUUAAAGGGUGCGUAGGCGGAUUGAUAAGUUAGAGGUGAAAUGUCCGAGCUCAACUCGGGAACUGCCUCUAAUACUGUUGAUCUAGAGAGUAGAUGCGGUAGGCGGAAUGUAUGGUGUAGCGGUGAAAUGCUUAGAGAUCAUACAGAACACCGAUUGCGAAGGCAGCUUACCAAUUUAUAUCUGACGUUGAGGCACGAAAGCGUGGGGAGCAAACAGG